CGCAAGGGUGCCUCACUUCGUGCUGCAACCCACAAUGUGUCCUGUGAUGAUGUGUUUAGUGUUAGUUUUAUUUAUGUUCAUGCCAGAUUUCAGUUUUUGCGAUUCAGUUAAACAAAAUAAAAGACAAAUGAUUUCCAAGGAAGGAGAGGAAGUAACACUUUGGUGCACGUACGAAAGCAGCAAUCAGUACAUACACCUUUACUGGUACCGUGUGUAUCAGAACCGGGCAUUUCAGUACAUUCUGUACAAAGGAGCCAGGUCCCGGUCUGGAUACGAUAACACCGCAGAGUUUGCUAAACAGAGGUUUUCUUCAAGGGCAGAUAGUAAAAGCACAACCCUGACCAUCACACAGACCUCCCUGUCUGACUCUGCCAUUUAUUACUGCGCCCUUGACUUGACCGUAACCACAGUGUGGGAAUGUAAUGAGAGACCCGCACAAAAACUAAGUGCUACAGUAGCUGGUGAUGUUCCAGAAAGGUCUGAUUAUUUUAUUUAGGAAGGUGCCCACUUUAGUAGCACAUUAAAAUUAUAGCACUUAGAAAACUAUUUUUCAAACAGAACUUACUAAUUUUGUAUCCCCCAAAAUUGGUGAUCUUCAUUUAAUUAAACAGAGUUGUGGUAUGUUCCAGCAUG